ACCCAGACUCCUACGGGAGGCAGCAGUGGGGAAUAUUGCACAAUGGGGGGAACCCUGAUGCAGCAAUGCCGCGUGAAGGAUGAAGGUUUUCGGAUUGUAAACUUCUUUUGUACGGGACGAAGAAAGUGACGGUACCGUAAGAAUAAGCCACGGCUAACUACGUGCCAGCAGCCGCGGUAAUACGUAGGUGGCAAGCGUUAUCCGGAUUUACUGGGUGUAAAGGGCGAGUAGGCGGGAUUGCAAGUCUGAUGUGAAAGGCCGGGGCCCAACCCCGGGACUGCAUUGGAAACUGCGAGGCUGGAGUGUCGGAGAGGCAGGCGGAAUUCCUAGUGUAGCGGUGAAAUGCGUAGAUAUUAGGAGGAACACCAGUGGCGAAGGCGGCCUGCUGGACUGCAACUGACGUUGAGGCCCGAAAGCGUGGGGAGCAAACAGGAUUAGAUACCCCGGUAU
rnacentral:rRNA from 1 species